rnacentral:lncRNA from 1 species
CAUCCCUUCGCCCUGCCCCCUUGCCACACCCCACCGCAGCUCACCCCUUAACCACUCCCCCUUACCCCGCCCCCGCCGCAGCCCUCCCCUUUACCUCGCUCCUCGCUCCCCGCCUCCGCCCAUCCCGGCCCUGUUCCCUCCUCGCCGCCACAGCCCACCGCCCGGAGACCCCGAACGCCCGGGUCUCCCGCCGCUAUCCCGAGGCCGGAAGCGGAAGUGCGGCCGGGGAGCAGCCGCGGGUCUGGCACCAGGGCUGCGAGUCCGGUCUUCCCGGCCGGUGCGCGCCGGAACCCGCUUGAGGAGCGGGACUCGAUGCGCCGCGGAGAUCUUGGGUCCGAUCCAGGAGGGAGGGGCUGGACCUCGGGCAGCCCCGGGUCACGCCGACAUCCCCCUGUCCCUCACGCGAGCCCCAGUCCUUCCCUGGGGCCUCAGGCUGUUCCUCAGGUCAGCCUCUAGCUCCGGACACCGCCGUCCCCUACUCCGAAAGCACGGUCCUGUCACCUCCCCUGCGGGCCACUCUACCACUCUACCCCGGACUUCCGGCCAUGUCUGGGGACUGUGUGAUUGUCACGUACGGCAUCUAGAGGGCAAGAAAAGCAUCUCUCCAUUUCAAGUUUGUAUGGACACCAGCCUCAAGGUUCACCUGCCCUCAGGGAUCCGUGGAUUUCUGUGUGAUCAGGUGAGUACCCUGUGGAACUGGUAAUAAUAGGCCUCGGCAGCCUCCACUGGGCAGGACACUUCCUGUGCUCAAGCUGUAAACACCAGGAGUCUCUUAAGAGUGAAGCUUAAAAAUUAAAUUACUUGAUUUUCUUUCUUUUUUUUAAAUAAAAAAAAUUUUUAACGUUUAUUUAUUAUUGAG